UACGAAGGGGGCUAGCGUUGCUCGGAAUCACUGGGCGUAAAGCGCACGUAGGCGGCUUUGUAAGUUAGAGGUGAAAGCCCGGAGCUCAACUCCGGAAUUGCCUUUAAGACUGCAUCGCUUGAAUCCAGGAGAGGUGAGUGGAAUUCCGAGUGUAGAGGUGAAAUUCGUAGAUAUUCGGAAGAACACCAGUGGCGAAGGCGGCUCACUGGACUGGUAUUGACGCUGAGGUGCGAAAGCGUGGGGAGCAAACAGG
rnacentral:rRNA from 1 species